UGAGAUGUAGCUCAGUUGGUUAGAGCACCACUCUGAUAAGGUGGGGGUCAAGAGUUCAAGUCUCUUCAUCUCAA
rnacentral:tRNA from 1 species